rnacentral:rRNA from 1 species
UACGUAGGGCGCAAGCGUUGUCCGGAAUUAUUGGGCGUAAAGGGCGCGUAGGCGGCUUUGGCAAGUGGAUGGUGAAAUCCCUCGGCUUAACCGAGGAACUGCCAUCCAGACUGCUUUGCUUGAGGCCGGGAGAGGUAAGUGGAAUUCCCAGUGUAGCGGUGAAAUGCGUAGAUAUUGGGAGGAACACCAGUGGCGAAGGCGGCUUACUGGACCGGUUCUGGACGCUGAGGCGCGAAAGCGUGGGGAGCAAACGGG